rnacentral:lncRNA from 1 species
UUCUGUUCUGCGAAUAAUUUGUGUGCACGAUAGCUGCUUAAAAUAUGGUUAAAUGUAGAGUUGGUAGAGGGGAGUGAGAGCUUUCGACCCAGGGAAGACUGGUCAAUUCUUAAGUUUCUUCCUAGAGAAACAGAGAUCCAACCAGGAAAAAUGCUCUCAAAGACAUCUUGUUUUCUCAUUGAUCCAACCUGGAAGAAUGUCUCAAGUGUCACGCAUCUUCUUCCCCACUUCUGCCAUGAUUGGUUGAACCUUAGGGAGCCGUUGCAAGUUUGUUGAACUUUGAAGACUGCACUCCUUUUUCUUGAUUCUGUUAAGAUUGUUCAAUAAAAAUUGAACCCCCAAUCAACAAAUCCCAGGUAGAUGUCUUUUUACCCUUCUUUUUCUCAUCGAAGAAAGCAACAAAAUAUUGCAGUUAAGAUGCUGACAAUAACAUCUUCGCUUUGUGCAUCCAACAAAACAACUUCCUAAAAGUUAAAAGAACUUCUCAUCCAACACUCCACAAUCAGUAUCUAUUAUCUGUAAGCAAACCCAAAGCCAUACAUUACUGUACUAAUCACAAAAGUAUUUACAAAUUCUCAUCCUCAAACCUAUCUUUCCAGAAUAGACAGAAAAAGAAAAAGUGGUAAACAAGGAAAAUUUCCCUAACUUGCUGUUAGGCUGUCUGUGGCACUUGGUUUUCACAUGCUUCUCCCUCAAUUUUCACGUUGCUACCAUUGUUGAAACUGUCACCUUGCCAUGUCCAAACGAUGUCUUUCAAUGCAGGCCUAACAUCAUCGUCGCAAAACUUAGCAUACUCCAAGGUGUCACCGCUAGACUUGGAGAACUCGACAACCGCAACCUCCGGUGCCACCUCAAACACC